rnacentral:rRNA from 1 species
CGCGUAGGUGGUUCGAUAAGUCGGAGGUGAAAUCCCUCGGCUCAACCGAGGACCCGCGUCCGAUACUGUCGAACUUGAGUGCAGGAGAGGAGAGCGGAAUUCCGAGUGUAGCGGUGAAAUGCGUAGAUAUUCGGAGGAACACCGGUGGCGAAGGCGGCUCUCUGGACUGCUACUGACACUGAGGCGCGAAAGCUAGGGGAGCAAACGGGAUUAGAUACCCCGGUAGUCCUAGCCGUAAACGAUGGGCACUAGGUGUGGGAGGUAUCGACCCCUUCCGUGCCGCAGCUAACGCAUUAAGUGCCCCGCCUGGGGAGUACGGCCGCAAGGUUGAA